rnacentral:rRNA from 3 species
GCGGAAGGAUCAUUACCGAGAGACGGGGU